AAUACGGAGGGGGCUAGCGUUGUUCGGAAUUACUGGGCGUAAAGGGUGCGUAGGCGGCUAUCCAAGUCAGACGUGAAAGGCCUGGGCUCAACCCGGGAACUGCGUUUGAGACUGGGUGGCUGGAGUCCGGGAGAGGUGAGCGGAAUUCCCAGUGUAGAGGUGAAAUUCGUAGAUAUUGGGAAGAACACCGGUGGCGAAGGCGGCUCACUGGACCGGUACUGACGCUGAGGCACGAAAGCGUGGGGAGCAAACA
rnacentral:rRNA from 1 species